rnacentral:rRNA from 1 species
CCUACGGGUGGCAGCAGUAGGGACUCUUUCACAAUGGGCGAAAGCCUGAUGGAGCAACGCCUCGUGCAGGAUGAAGGCCUUCGUGUUGUAAACUGCUUUUAUAAUCGAGAAAUCUGAUGGUAACUUAUGAAUAAGGAUCUGCUAACUACGUGCCAGCAGCCGCGGUCAUACGUAGGAUCCGAGCAUUAUCCGGAGUGACUGUGUGUAAAGAGUUGCGUAGGUGGCAUAAUAAGUAGCUAGUGAAAUCUGGUGGCUCAACCAUUCAGACUAUUAGCUAAACUGUUAAGCUCGAGACCGUUAGGGGUAACUGGAAUUGUUAGGGUAGGAGUGAAAUCCGGAGAUAUUAGAAGGAACACCAAUAGCGUAGGCAGGUUGCUGGGACGGUUCUGACACUAAGGCACGAAAGCGUAGGGAGCAAACGGGAUUAGAUACCCCAGUAGUC